rnacentral:rRNA from 1 species
AGAGUUUGAUCCUGGCUCAGAACGAACGUUAGCGGCGCGCCUAACACAUGCAAGUCGUGCGAGAAAGGGGAAACCCCGGUAAAGCGGCGCACGGGUGAGUAACACGUAGGUAAUCUACCCCCAGGUGGUGGAUAACCUUCCGAAAGGAGGGCUAAUACAGCAUGAGACCACGGUUCCGCAAGGGAUUGAGGUCAAAGCCGGCCUCUUCACGAAAGCUGGCGCCAGGGGAUGAGCCUGCGGCCCAUCAGCUUGUUGGUAGGGUAACGGCCUACCAAGGCGAAGACGGGUAGCUGGUCUGAGAGGAUGAUCAGCCACACUGGAACUGAGACACGGUCCAGACUCCUACGGGAGGCAGCAGUGGGGAAUCUUGCGCAAUGGGCGAAAGCCUGACGCAGCGACGCCGCGUGAGUGAUGAAGGCCUUCGGGUUGUAAAGCUCUGUGGAGAGGGACGAAUAAGGGUUGGCUAACAUCCAGCUUGAUGACGGUACCUCUUUAGCAAGCACCGGCUAACUCUGUGCCAGCAGCCGCGGUAAGACAGAGGGUGCAAACGUUGUUCGGAAUUACUGGGCGUAAAGCGCGUGUAGGCUGCCUUGCAAGUCGGGUGUGAAAGCCCUGGGCUCAACCUAGGAAGUGCACUCGAAACUGCAAGGCUGGAGUCCUGGAGAGGAAGGCGGAAUUCUCGGUGUAGAGGUGAAAUUCGUAGAUAUCGAGAGGAACACCGGUGGCGAAGGCGGCCUUCUGGACAGUGACUGACGCUGAGACGCGAAAGCGUGGGGACAAACAGGAUUAGAUACCCUAGUAGUCC